CCUAUGAAACUCAGAACUCCACAUACUCACCAAGUAACCAUAGCAUCGAAAACAGCUCUAUGAAAGACACCCACACAGAAACCUACACAGCAGACGCUAAAACAAUUGGCGUCACUUUAUCUGUGGUGAUCCUCUUGGUUUCCAUGAGUGGCAUCAUCUUUGUACUAUAUCGAAGG